rnacentral:rRNA from 1 species
UACGUAGGGUACAAGCGUUGUCCGGAAUUAUUGGGCGUAAAGAGCUCGUAGGCGGUCUGUCGCGUCUGCUGUGAAAACUCAGGGCUUAACCCUGAGCUUGCAGUGGGUACGGGCAGACUAGAGUGCGGUAGGGGAGACUGGAAUUCCUGGUGUAGCGGUGAAAUGCGCAGAGUAUCAGGAGGAACACCGGUGGGCCGAAGGCGGGGUCUCUGGGCCGUAACU